rnacentral:rRNA from 1 species
UACAGAGGGUGCGAGCGUUAAUCGGAAUUACUGGGCGUAAAGCGCGCGUAGGCGGCUUUGCAAGUCGGGUGUGAAAUCCCCAGGCUUAACCUGGGAACUGCAUUCGAGACUGCAUUGCUAGAGUAUGGGAGAGGGAAGUGGAAUUUCCGGUGUAGCGGUGAAAUGCGUAGAUAUCGGAAGGAACAUCAGUGGCGAAAGCGGCUUCCUGGUCCAGCACCGACGUUCAGGCACGAAAGCGUGGGGGAGCAAACAGG